GGUACUACACAGUGACGUCAUCGAUAAGGUACUACACAGUGACGUCAUCGAUAAGGUACUACACAGUGACGUCAUCGAUAAGGUACUACACAGUGACGUCAUCGAUAAGGUACUACACAGUGACGUCAUCGAUAAGGUACUACACAGUGACGUCAUCGGUAAGGUACUACACAGUGACGUCAUCGAUAAGGUACUACACAGUGACGUCA